UCAGUUCGGAUUGAAGGCUGAAAUUCGCCUUCAUGAAGCCGGAAUUGCUAGUAAUGGCAGGUCAGCAUACUGCCGUGAAUACGUUCCCGGGCCUUGUACACACCGCCCGUCACACCAUGAGAGUUGGGAAUACCCGAAGCCUGUGAGCUAACUUUUAGAGGCAGCAGUCGAAGGUAGAAUCAAUGAUUGGGGUGAAGUCGUAACAAGGUAAC
rnacentral:rRNA from 1 species